rnacentral:rRNA from 1 species
GUGGGGAAUAUUGGACAAUGGGGGGAACCCUGAUCCAGCCAUGCCGCGUGUGUGAAGAAGGCCUUUUGGUUGUAAAGCACUUUAAGUGGGGAGGAGGCUUACCUGGUUAAUACCUGGGCUAAGUGGACGUUACCCACAGAAUAAGCACCGGCUAACUCUGUGCCAGCAGCCGCGGUAAUACAGAGGGUGCGAGCGUUAAUCGGAUUUACUGGGCGUAAAGCGCGCGUAGGUGGUUAAUUAAGUCAAAUGUGAAAUCCCCGAGCUUAACUUGGGAAUUGCAUUCGAUACUGGUUGGCUAGAGUAUGGGAGAGGAUGGUAGAAUUCCAGGUGUAGCGGUGAAAUGCGUAGAGAUCUGGAGGAAUACCGAUGGCGAAGGCAGCCAUCUGGCCUAAUACUGACACUGAGGUGCGAAAGCAUGGGGAGCAAACAGGAUUAGAAACCCUUGUAGUCC